rnacentral:lncRNA from 1 species
GACUCUUACACAGAGAAACCCUGUCAUGAAAAUCAAAACAAAACACCCACACCUCUCAGUAUUUUUAAAAACUUAAUUACCAUCUGUGGUUGUUAGUGUGAAUGCAGACCACCAUCACAGAAACAAUACGUAAGAGAAUAGAGUAGAAUAUGUAUGUUAGCAACAUAUUUAAAACUUCAGAUUUCAGAUUGUGGGACAUACACAAGAAUGCACACAUGAAUUUAAUGAGACAAAAUGCAGAUACUCAUUGCCUAGGCAAAGAGGGGGCUAUGCAAGCCUUUCAGUGUGCUUUUCCUGUCUGUCUAGCCUUAGGAAACGUCUUCAUCUGACUGUUUUGUUUGACAGUGUGCUGGUUAGUUUUUGUUAACUUGACAGGAACUGGAGUCACCAAGGAAAGACCCCCAUUGGAUUGGCCUGUAAACAAGUCUGUGAGACAUUUCUGUUUCUCUAAUGAAUGGUCAGUGUGGGCAGUAGUGCUCCAGACGGGCGG